UACGUAGGGUGCAAGUGUUAUCCGGAAUCACUGGGCGUAAAGCGUCUGUAGGUGGUUUAAUAAGUCAACUGUUAAAUCUUGAGGCUCAACCUCAAAAUCGCAGUCGAAACUAUUAGGCUAGAGUAUAGUAGGGGUAAAGGGAAUUUCCAGUGGAGCGGUGAAAUGCGUAGAGAUUGGAAAGAACACCGAUGGCGAAGGCACUUUACUGGGCUAUUACUAACACUCAGAGACGAAAGCUAGGGUAGCAAAUGGG
rnacentral:rRNA from 1 species